CACAAGUCAAAAUUUAUCUUUUUAAUUUUUAUAUAGAACAACAUAUUUUCUAUCCUAUGAUUUAUGACACUAGCUAUUACUACACAAACUAACACAAAAAAUCUAUAACUACAAUUUAAGAGCAAUGAAAAGAAAAAGCUUAUUGUUUUUGGUUUCUUGUGUUUGGCUCCUCUAUGUAGAUUUUCCAGGAUUGCACUGCAUUCAUUCUUCUCAGGUCUCCAUUGCAGCAACACCUGCUCUCCAUUCAGCUCUGGCUGCUGAUUUUGCUCGUUCCAGGUUCCUUGAGUCUUAUUGAGACCAUCCCCUGCUUCCACCAAGUUUGCCUCAGUGCCUGCAACUUCCUUCUCGUUGAACUCUACAGACUCAACAAAUUCAGCAGUUGCAUCAUCCAAAUUCUCAUGGAAAAUACUGUCAAGAUCAGUGCCUAAAUUGUCAACAGCAGCAGGGAUGUCAGAAUGCUCUAUAGAAUAUGUUGAAUCAAGAUGAUGAGGAUGCACAAGGAUAUCAACACCAGUAUUAAUGAUGG
rnacentral:lncRNA from 1 species